AAAUGCUUAGCUGCCUAUAAAGCCGUAACAGUUUUGCUCGUGCCCUCUGAGUGGGAAAUACGGUUAGUGUCUUCUGUAGUGUGCGUGCGGGAGCCCUGACCUCGCUAGCAGACUUGACCUCUGAAGAUGGAAAGUAGCUUCAACACAGACCUGCCUACAGUUAAGCCUGGAAACAUAACCUCAAGCAAGAAAAGAUGCAGUGCAAUAUCUAAGGAACUAGAAGAAACCAAUAUUUGCCGGGGGAGGGGGGAGACGAUGGCUUUUUUUGGUGCUUUUUUUUUUUUUUGGAAGCGACUCCAACUUUUGGGGGCUCGGUUUGGUUUUUUGUUAGGGUUUUUCUUUUUUUGUCUUUUUGCCUGUGAUUAUUUUCAUCUGACAGUGGGCUAAGUUCACCUUCCCUUGGCUUCCUAGCAUCUAUCCUUGGAGUCUUAACUCUCAGUCCAGCAGACCUAAGGUAUAAUUUCUAUACAACAUCAUCCAUAUUUUAGCAUUCCAAGAAAGGCAGCAGGUGCCAAUUAGGCACCGGUCUUUAUGCUUUUUUUUUUUCCUUUUAAGUUUUAUCUAUUUAAGGUGGUGAGGUACUGUAUGCACCGACAUUCGCCCCCCCUUGCCUCCCCCUCCCAUGUAACGAAGAGCUGAUUCAGCGAAUAGAGUGAGAGAGCACUCAGGAUGAGAUGGCUGCUGCUGAUGUGUCUCUAGGUCAUUACCUCUCUUCCAACUGCAAAUGCUGCAUGAUACUAAGCUUACAGGACACUAGGUGCAAACUGUACACCAACAUGGAAAUCUGCUAGAAGACCUGGGAGGAAGCUGAAGUUUUUACAGUGGAUUACAACUACGAAUCCCAAGAAAACACAUUGCAAAGCUACCAGCGAUUCAACUCUCCACUCAAACGUGGUCACUCAGAACGAACAGCAAGAGGCUGCAAAAAUCUGGAAAAGCACUUCUAAUGUCCAUGCCAUCCCAGAACAAUGAACUGUAACAGGCUUUAAGCCACUGUGCAGGUAAAUUGCAUUGCAAAGUUCAGUUAGAAUAAUAAGUUUAUUUUCUACCAUCAGUUAAUCAUAACAUUGUUCUUCCAAAGAACUGUCAGCCUGAAUUUUACCUAAUGACAGCAACGGAGAGUAGCAAAAUACUUUUCAGGUUCAUCUGACAGGUACUCGAGCAACUCCACGUGUACCUGCUCAGAGUACAUACUUCUUUAUGUACCCAUAUGAACAUACAAUGCUAUGGAAUGUAAAGAAGUAUGUAUUUUUGGCAGGCACGGAACGACCAGUAAGAGGAAACUAAACAGCUGUUGGAAGAAACAGGUUUCCCUCUUGUUUGAAUGACAUUCAUGUGACAAAUUAACUUGCUAAGGGUCAGCUGGUAUUGCCAAAAUAACUCAUACUUGUUACUAACGAACCACAAAACAUUAAAUUAAGUGACUAUAAAAGUGUGUAGGAAGAAUUGUUAACAGCUGAUAAGCAGAACAUUAGUUGUAAAACAAGAAUCCAAAACAAAGUUGGAAAUGAACUCUUGAAACGCACAUACUAAGAUUGCAGCAUAGCCGCAAAAUUUAUCAUUAUCAGUACUCCUCACUUAAUAGAUCCUAAACUAAUCUUAAAAGCCUGAUUAUCAAAACGUAUCUCAUUAAAAACAAGCCAUUGUUCUAUUAAUCACAGCCAGUCCCGGGGACUUCACAUGGUAGUAUUUAAAUUUACAUCUACCAUAGAAUAUUUAAUCUACAGGUUGCAACUAAGACACAAGUAGAAACCGCUAGGAAAUUAAGGCUGUGAUUUAGAGAAAAGGAUAGCCAAAACAAUUGAGUAUGAUACUUCUGCAAUUUAAUAUAUGAGACUUAAGUUAGAAUUUUCUCCAAAUCAGCACUUAUUAUGCUCACUGAGCUCUUCGAUACAAAGUGCAGUGUCAGGUUUAUGCACAGAAAGUGACAAUACAGAGAUUUCUAGGCCACAGUUGCUAGUCAGCGAAUUAAAGCUAUUGACAGAUUCCUAAAUGAAAACACUAAUGACAACUACAACCUAUAAGGUAAGUUAUCUUAAAUACUAUUUUCAAAUAAGCUGAAUUUAUUUUAAAUCCAAAUUUAAGAAAAUAUUACUUUGUAGCAUGCAGAAAAUUGUAAGAACUACAUGAGAAAUAGUCCUGCAACAGUUUCAAGUUCUAAAAGUGGUAUUAAUUAAAAUAUACCAGCGCAUACCAUCCCUAAGUAGAGACAUUGAACAUCAAAUUCAGGAACAAGGAAAAAUAUGAGGAAAGACCUCCUGGCUCAUCGAUCCAGCCAUUCCUAUUCAUGACAGCAGCCUUCUAAAAGCUGUUAUUAAAUAGGAUACAUCCAUGAUAAGUAGGCACAUUUGGCCCAGAUUAAAGAUUCUAACUGUACCCCUGUGCUUUAUAAAAUGUCUGGGAGAAAAAAAAAAGAAAAAUAAAAAAGGCAAUGCACCAUUUUUAGAUGGAGAAUCUUAUUUUUAAAUACUCACAUAAUUAUCAAAUAGCUAAUACUAUACAUAGCCUGCUAUUUUUAUUACCUGAAACUACAGAAUAACAUAUAUACAAGAAACAUCUUAUCAGAACCAUUUUCUUAAGUAAAAUAUUAAUAUUUGUUUUAAAGCUAUUUCCCUUAUGAGCAGAUAUUUUGGCAUGAAGACUACAGUAUCUUAACAUCUAAAUUAAAACCUGGCUUAUAGUGGGGAAACAAAUCAAAUUGUAGUAGCUUUUCUAAAUGGAGCGAUGCUACUGAACUUGAUCAUGCUCACAGAAGCAAUUUGGUAUUACCGAUAGCUUUACAGAAGGAUUAAUUGCUCAGCAUUUACUUCUUUUCCUGAAGAGUUCCUGUCCCCACCACCAAUUAAUUUGGCUUCCACCAUAUAAUGAGACCAACUUUUUAACACCUUAAAUUUAUUUUUAGAGGUUUUUGGUAACAAUUCAUCAUGUUGUGUUCUUUCUUGUCUUCUUUGUGUAACAUUGCAAUGCUAUUCCAAAACAAAAUGACAGUUCGGAGUGAUACAAAAGUUAAAAUUAUAUGUUGACAUUGCUUCCUGCUAGUUCAUGUUAGCAUAUCUCUAAGAAUACAUAUCCAGUCACUCUAAAAUGUCACAUCCAUCACUCAGAUCAGCUGUUCAGUUUUAACUGAGCACACGCUGAACUUUGGGCAUCUGCUGACACAGUUGUAACUCAAACAUUUCAACUGUGUGACUGACAGGGAUAACAGAUGCUGACAUUAUCAAAUGCUACACAGCUUUUUUUCCACGGCCGUUUUUUGUCCCGAUAUGGCCA